AUGGAGCAUCCGCUUUGAACCCCUCAUGCAACAGGGGAGGAAAUGAGGAAGUGACUUGCCCAGAGCCCCCUGGCUUAUCUAGGCAGAGUUGGAGCUGGAACCUGAGUAUCUGGGCUGCCUUCCUUCCAUCUACAGAUAUUUAUCUUGCACCCAGGCACUUGAACAACACAGACAGUUUCCUUAAUUUCAUUCUAGUGGAGUCGAACAGACUGAUUUCUCGAAUGGGUCACCACCCGUGGUAUGAGAACAUGACGUCAGCGCCAUGGUGUGGAGAGCUGAUCUUGUUUUAGUGAAGGAGUGAGUGGGAAGCCUGUAACAAGCUUUAAGAGGAGACUGGGAUGAUCCGAUGUAUGCUUUAAGAUCACUUCAUUGCUAGCCAAGAGCACUCUGAGGGUAGGAACUGUCUGCUCACCUUGAGAGGACCUUCACUCAGCACGGGGGCUGGCCCGAAGCACUGGCAUCAGGAUCCAGUGAAUCCUUGCAACUCUCAAAUUUGUUCAAAUGGCUGAGCUCCUUCACCGCCAGGGUGAUAUGAACCUCAGACUGCUGGUGGC